GUGCUUUCUUUGGUAACACAUAUACUGAAAUUGGAAUGAUACAGAUAAGAUUAGCAAGGCCCCAUGCAAAGAUGACAGGUAAAUUUAUGAAGCAUUUCAUUUGGGA
ensembl:snRNA U6 U6 spliceosomal RNA